GAUGAAGAACGCAGCGAAAUGCGAUAAGUAAUGCGAAUUGCAGAAUUCCAGUGAGUCAUCGAAUCUUUGAACGCACAUUGCGCCCUUUGGUAUUCCGAAGGGCAUGCCUGUUCGAGCGUCAUUAUCACCCCUCAAGCCCUCGGCUUGGUGUUGGACGGUUUGGUGGAGGCCCCCUCGGGGGCUCCUGCCCCUCCCAAAGACAAUGAUGGCGGCCUCGUUGGACCCCCGGUACACUGAGUUCUUCACGGGACACGUAUCGGACACAUGGGUUUACGGGACACGGUCUGCCUCCCCUCAGGGAGAAUCUUUCUAAGGUUGACCUCGGAUCAGGUAGGGAUACCCGCUGAACUUAAGCAUAUCAAUAAGCGGAGGA
rnacentral:misc_RNA from 1 species